AUUGAACGCUGGCGGCAGGCUUAACACAUGCAAGUCGAGCGGGGUGAUGGUGCUUGCACUAUCACUUAGCGGCGGACGGGUGAGUAAUGCUUAGGAAUCUGCCUAUUAGUGGGGGACAACAUCUCGAAAGGGAUGCUAAUACCGCAUACGUCCUACGGGAGAAAGCAGGGGAUCACUUGUGACCUUGCGCUAAUAGAUGAGCCUAAGUCGGAUUAGCUAGUUGGUGGGGUAAAGGCCUACCAAGGCGACGAUCUGUAGCGGGUCUGAGAGGAUGAUCCGCCACAAUGGGACUGGGACACGGCCCAAACUCCUACGGGAGGCAGCAGUGGGGAAUAUUGGACAAUGGGGGGAAUCCUGAUCCAGCCAUGCCGCGUGUGUGAAGAAGGCCUUAUGGUUGUAAAGCACUUUAAGCGAGGAGGAGGCUCUUUUGGUUAAUACCCAAGAUGAGUGGACGUUACUCGCAGAAUAAGCACCGGCUAACUCUGUGCCAGCCGCCGCAGUAA
rnacentral:rRNA from 1 species